rnacentral:rRNA from 1 species
GACGUAGGGCGCGAGCGUUGUCCGGAUUUAUUGGGCGUAAAGGGCUCGUAGGCGGCCAACUAAGUCGGACGUGAAAUCCCCAGGCUCAACCUGGGAACUGCGUCCGAUACUGGAUGGCUUGAAUCCGGGAGAGGGAUGCAGAAUUCCAGGUGUAGCGGUGAAAUGCGUAGAUAUCUGGAGGAAUACCGGUGGCGAAGGCGGCAUCCUGGACCGGCAUUGACGCUGAGGAGCGAAAGCCAGGGGAGCAAACGGG